GCCUGGGUAGCUCAGUUGGUUGAGCAUUGGACUUCAACCCAGGUCAUGAUUCCACAGUUUGUGGGUUUGAGCCCUGCAUCAGGCU
rnacentral:tRNA from 1 species